rnacentral:rRNA from 1 species
GACGAACGCUGGCGGCGUGCUUAACACAUGCGAGUCGAACGGAAAGGCCCUGCUUGCAUGGUACUCGAGUGGCGAACGGGUGAGUAACUCGUGGGUGAUCUGCCCUGCACUUCGGGGUAAGCCUGGGAAACUGGGUCUAAUACCGGAUAGGUGCCAUUUUUAGUGUGAUGGUUGGAAAGUGUUUUCGGUGUAGGAUGAGCUCGCGGCCUAUCAGCUUGUUGGUGGGGUAAUGGCCUACCAAGGCGGCGACGGGUAGCCGGCCUGAGAGGGUGGACGGCCACAUUGGGACUGAGAUACGGCCCAGACUCCUACGGGAGGCAGCAGUGGGGAAUAUUGCACAAUGGGCGCAAGCCUGAUGCAGCGACGCCGCGUGGGGGAUGACGGCCUUCGGGUUGUAAACUCCUUUCGCUAGGGACGAAGCUUUUUGUGACGGUACCUAGAUAAGAAGCACCGGCUAACUACGUG